UACGGAGGGGCAAGCGUUGUCCGGACUUACUGGGCGUAAAGGGUGCGUAGGCGGUUGCAUGCGUCGGCGCUGAAAUCCGUGGCUCAACCCACGGGCGCGUGCCGAUACGAUGCGACUGGAGGCUCGGAGAGGGUGGGAGAACUCCUGGUGUAGUGGUGAAAUGCGUAGAGAUCAGGAAGAAUACCCGUGGCGCAAGCGCCCACCUGGCCGAGACCAUGACGCUAAGGGCACGGAAAGCGUGGGGAGCGAACCGG
rnacentral:rRNA from 1 species